rnacentral:rRNA from 1 species
CACGUAGUUAGCCGGGGCUUCUUAGUCAGGUACCGUCAUUUUCUUCCCUGCUGAUAGAGCUUUACAUACCGAAAUACUUCUUCGCUCACGCGGCGUCGCUGCAUCAGGGUUCCCCCCAUUGUGCAAUAUUCCCCACUGCUGCCUCCCGUAGGAGUUUGGGCCGUGUCUCAGUCCCAAUGUGGCCGUUCACCCUCUCAGGCCGGCUACUGAUCGUCGCCUUGGUGGGCCGUUACCCCGCCAACCAGCUAAUCAGACGCGGGUCCAUCCUAUACCACCGGAGUUUUUCACACCGGAGCAUGCGCUCCUGUGCGCUUAUGCGGUAUUAACAGUCGUUUCCAACUGUUAUCCCCCUGUAUAGGGCAGGUUACCCACGCGUUACUCACCCGUCCGCCACUAAACUAAACCAAAUCCUUUCCGAAGAUUCUCAUCGGAGUAGUUCCGUUCGACUUGCAUGUGUUAAGCACGCCGCCAGCGUUCAUCCUGAGCCAGGAUCAAACUCU